rnacentral:rRNA from 1 species
UACGUAGGGGGCAAGCGUUGUCCGGAAUCAUUGGGCGUAAAGCGCGCGUAGGCGGCCCUGUAAGUCCGUUGUGAAAGUCAAAGGCUCAACCUUUGAAAGCCGAUGGAUACUGCAGGGCUAGAGUCCGGAAGAGGCGAGUGGAAUUCCUGGUGUAGCGGUGGAAUGCGCAGAUAUCAGGAGGAACACCAACGGCGAAGGCAGCACUCUGGGCCGGUACUGACGCUGAGGAGCGAAAGCGUGGGGAGCAAACAGG